UACGAAGGGGGCUAGCGUUGCUCGGAAUCACUGGGCGUAAAGGGUGCGUAGGCGGGUCUUUUAAGUCAGGGGUGAAAUCCUGGAGCUCAACUCCAGAACUGCCUUUGAUACUGAGGAUCUUGAGUUCGGGAGAGGUGAGUGGAACUGCGAGUGUAGAGGUGAAAAUUCGUAGAUAUUCGCAAGAACACCAGUGGCGAAGGCGGCUCACUGGCCCGAUACCUGACGCUGAGGCACGAAAGCGUGGGGAGCAAACAGG
rnacentral:rRNA from 1 species